rnacentral:rRNA from 2 species
ACUCCUACGGGAGGCAGCAGUGGGGAAUAUUGCGCAAUGGGGGAAACCCUGACGCAGCAACGCCGCGUGAGUGAUGAAGGCCUUCGGGUCGUAAAGCUCUGUCUUCGCUGACGAUAAUGACGGUAAGCGAGGAGGAAGCCACGGCUAACUACGUGCCAGCAGCCGCGGUAAU